rnacentral:rRNA from 1 species
ACAAAAACAUGUCCAUUUGAAGAUAUAGAAGGUCUAGCCUGCUCACUGACGAAUUUUGUUUAAGAGCCGCGGUAUUUUGACCGUGCAAAGGUAGCAUAAUCAUUAGUUUUUUAAUUGAAAACUGGUAUGAAAGGUUGGACAAAGAAAAAGCUGUCUUUAUUGUAAAGAUUGAAUUUAACUUUUAAGUGAAAAGGCUUAAAUAAUUCGGGGGGACGAUAAGACCCUAUAAAGCUUUAUAUAUUGGUUAAAUUUAAUUAAAUUAAGAAAUAAAAAUUUGAUUUAGUUAUUAUAUUUUAUUGGGGCGAUAUAAGUAUAAAUUAUUUAACUGCUUAAUUAGUAAGACAAGUAAUAAAUGAAUCUUUAGUAAAUGAUCCUUUUUUGAGAUUAAAAGACUAAGUUACUUUAGGGAUAACAGCGUUAUUUCUUUUGAGAGUUCAUAUCGAAAAAGAAGCUUGCGACCUCGAUGUUGAAUUAAAAUGUCUUUAUAAUGCAGCCGUUAUAAAAGAAGGUCUGUUCGACCUUUAAAAUUUUACGUGAUCUGAGUUCAGACCGGA